rnacentral:rRNA from 1 species
CGGGGUGCAGCAGGCGCGAAACCUUCGCAAUGCGCGAAAGCGUGACGAGGUUAAUCCGAGUGGCUUCCGCUGAGGAAGUCUUUUGCCGACUGUAAAAAGGUCGGAGAAUAAGGGGAGGGCAAGUCUGGUGUCGGCCGCCGCGGUAAUACCAGCUCCUCGAGUGGUCGGGGCGAUUAUUGGGCCUAAAGCAUCCGUAGCCGGCUCCGUAGGUCUCCUGCAAAAUCCAGUCGCUCAACGAUUGGCCCGCAGGAGAUACCGCGGGACUAGGAGGCGGGAGAGGUGGACGGUACUCCACGUGUAGGGGUAAAAUCCUUUGAUCCGUGGAAGACCACCAGUGGCGAAGGCGGUCCACCAGAACGCGCUCGACGGUGAGGGAUGAAAGCUGGGGGAGCGAACCGGAUUAGAUACCCGGGUAGUCCCAGCCGUAAACGAUGCGAGCUAGAUGAUCCAGUCGCAAAUCGCGACUGGAGUGUCGCAGGGAAGCCGUUAAGCUCGCCGCCUGGGGAGUACGGUCGCAAAAAGGAAACUUAAAGGAAU